rnacentral:rRNA from 1 species
UGAGCAAUCUGCCCUUCUCAUCGGAAUAAGCGUUGGAAACGACGUCUAAUGCCGAAUACGACCUCCUUUCGCAUGAUCGGAGGUGGAAAGCUCCGGCGGAGAAGGAUGAGCUCGCGGCCUAUCAGCUAGUUGGUGUGGGUAAUGGCCCACCAAGGCGACGACGGGUAGCCGGCCUGAGAGGGUGACCGGCCACACUGGGACCGAGACACGGCCCAGACUCCGUACGGGAGGNAG